rnacentral:rRNA from 1 species
AUUGAACGCUGGCGGCAUGCCUUACACAUGCAAGUCGAACGGCAGCACGGGAGCAAUCCUGGUGGCGAGUGGCGAACGGGUGAGUAAUAUAUCGGAACGUGCCCAGUAGUGGGGGAUAACUGCUCGAAGGAGCGGCUAAUACCGCAUACGACCUGAGGGUGAAAGGGGGGGAUCGCAAGACCUCUCGCUAUUGGAGCGGCCGAUAUCAGAUUAGCUAGUUGGUGGGGUAAAGGCCUACCAAGGCAACGAUCUGUAGUUGGUCUGAGAGGACGACCAGCCACACUGGGACUGAGACACGGCCCAGACUCCUACGGGAGGCAGCAGUGGGGAAUUUUGGACAAUGGGCGCAAGCCUGAUCCAGCAAUGCCGCGUGCAGGAAGAAGGCCUUCGGGUUGUAAACUGCUUUUGUCAGGGAAGAAAUCCUCUAGGUUAAUACCCUUGGGGGGAUGACGGUACCUGAAGAAUAAGCACCGGCUAACUACGUGCCAGCCGCCGCAGUAAGAC